GAUGAACGCUGGCGGCGUGCUUAACACAUGCAAGUCGAACGGAAAGGCCCAAGCUUGCUUGGGUACUCGAGUGGCGAACGGGUGAGUAACACGUGGGUGAUCUGCCCUGCACUUCGGGAUAAGCCUGGGAAACUGGGUCUAAUACCGGAUAGGAUGAUGGUUUGGAUGCCAUUGUGGAAAGUUUUUUCGGUGUGGGAUGAGCUCGCGGCCUAUCAGCUUGUUGGUGGGGUAAUGGCCUACCAAGGCGUCGACGGGUAGCCGGCCUGAGAGGGUGUACGGCCACAUUGGGACUGAGAUACGGCCCAGACUCCUACGGGAGGCAGCAGUGGGGAAUAUUGCACAAUGGGCGCAAGCCUGAUGCAGCGACGCCGCGUGGGGGAUGACGGCCUUCGGGUUGUAAACUCCUUUCGCUAGGGACGAAGCGUUUUUGUGACGGUACCUGGAGAAGAAGCACCGGCUAACUACGUG
rnacentral:rRNA from 1 species